AAUGAAUUGCCUGAAAAAGGAUUACUUUGAUAGAGUAAAUUAUGUAUAAUAAUACAUUCAUUAUA
rnacentral:tRNA from 1 species